rnacentral:rRNA from 1 species
UAAAAAUUUAUGAUUUGGAAAAUUUAUUUUAAGUUUAAUUUACAUGUAAAUUUUAGUAUUAAUUUUAUUGUAUUUAAAAAAUAUGAAAAUGAUUUGCAGUAAUUAAAAUUAAAUAUUUAAGAAAUUAAGAUUUAGUAAUACAAUAUUAAAUAACAAAUUUUGUGCCAGCAGUUGCGGUUAUACAAAAAUUUAAAUAAAUUUUAUUAGUAAAAAUAAAUAAUUUAAUUUAAAUUAAAAUUAAAAUUAUUAAGUGAAAUUUUAAUUUUAACAAAAUUUAUAUAAAAAUUAUGAAAUUUAAAAAUUUUGACUAUAAACUAGGAUUAGAUACCCUAUUAUAAAAAAUUAAAUUUAAAUACUAAAAUAGUAAAUAUUUUUUUAUUGAAACUUAAGUAAUUUGGCGGUAUUUUAGUUCAUUUAGAGGAAUCUGUUUAGUAAUUGAUAAUCCACGAAUAAUUAUAUUUAAUUUAAAAUUUUAUAUAUCGUUGUUAAAAAAAUAUUUUUAGAUAAGAAUAAUAUUUAAAAAUUUAUAAUAAAAAUUAAUUCAGAUCAAGAUGUAGAUAAUAAUUAAAUUCAAAAUGGAUUACAAUAUAUAAAUAUAAAUGAAUAAUAAUUUUGCAAUAAUUAUUGGAAAGUGGAUUUAAAUGUAAUUUUAAAUAAUUUUUUAAAAUGAUUAAAAAUUAGAAUAUGUACAUAUUGCCCGUCACUUUCAUUUAAAAAUUGGAAUAAGUCGUAACAAAGUAGGGGUACUGGAAAGUGUUCCUAGAAAGAC